CCCUCAAAACCACCAACAUCCCCGCCGCCAACGGCCCCCUCAAAUCCACCAACAUCCCCGCCGCCAACGGCCCCCUCAAGUCCACCAACAUCCCCGCCGCCAACAACCCCCUCAAGUCCUCCAACAUCCCCGCCGCCAACAACUCCCUCAAGUCCUCCAACAUCCCCGCCGCCAACAGCCCCCUCAAAUCCACCAACAUCCCCGCCGCCAACAACCCCCUCAAGUCCACCAACAUCCCCGCCAACUUCCCCUCCGCGUGCCUCGCCCCCGAUUUCACCAGUCGUGCCACCAGUUUCGCAACCAGUUUCACCUCUACAGCCACCAGUUUUGCCUCCAGGCAUUGCGGUUGACCCGGCCUCCAGGCCAGGUCCUCCGCCGCAGCUGCCUCCUAGUCCUCCCUCAGUGGAGGAGGAGCCACCCUGCCCUCCACCACCACCUAUCCUUCUGACCCGGAAGCUUAAGCUUUAAUAGAGAAGCAUAUAGCUAGCAAUAGUACUACUAGGAUCCUAUCAAUAAAAGUAGUUAGUACGCAGCCGAUGUUUAAUUAAGAGAAAAAGAAGUCCAUGGAAGUACUGCUUGUAUCAUGUUUUUCUAUGAGGAUAUAUGCUUCUUUUUCUCUAAGUUAUGGAGGUAUUCCAUUUCAACAAAAGCACUAAUGUUUGCAUUUGGGAAC
rnacentral:lncRNA from 1 species